UAUAUUUCUCCCGUUCUCUUUAGCUGCUGAUACACCAGCGACAUACAUCCCCCAACUCCACAGAAUGACGCUGCUCAGCUCCUGGCUGGAGGAAACUGACAUACCCAGAGGAUUCCUAUCUAAACACAGGGAGAACACAUCAACUCCAAGCUGAUCUUCAUUUGAUCGUAGAGAUGUCGCACUUAUAUAACAUGGGAAUAUCAGCAAUAAAUUUUCAAGGAAGAAAAACUGGCAGUAUCUGAAGCUUGGAAGCUGUACAAAAAAAAGUGAUCGGAGGUCCUCAAAUUUCCCUUGGAGGGCCACUUCCAAACAAUGGCCCUUGAGGUUGACAGCCUUAAUCUAGAGCAAUGCUACUCAACUGUUAAAAUAUGACCCAAUCACUGGUGCUUCUACUGAAGGGUCCGGCCAUCAUCAUGGAGAAAAAUAGCAAUCAGGCCCAAUGUCUUGGAUCAAACUAAUACCA